UGGGGUCUUAGCUCAGCUGGGAGAGCAUCUGCCUUACAAGCAGAGGGUCAUAGGUUCGAGCCCUAUAGGCCCCAUCC
rnacentral:tRNA from 1 species